ensembl:lncRNA
UUUUGUUUUGUUUUCUUUUUUUUUUUUUUUUUUUUUGGUCUUUUGAGGGCCAAACCCGUGGCAUAUGGAGAUUCCCAGGCUGUCGGUCUAAUCAGAGCUAUAGCCACCAGCCUGUGCCAGAGCCACAGCAACACCAGAUCUGAGCCACAUCUGCGACCUCCACCACAGCUCACAGCAAUGCCAGAUCCUUAACCCACUGAAUGAGGCCAGGGAUUGAACCCGCAACCUCAUGGUUCCUAGUCAGAUUCGUUUCUGCUGUGCCACGGUGGGAACUCCACAUAAAUUUUUUUCUAAUUUUAAAAUGGUCAUGUUGGAAGAUUUAGAAACAUCUAAUUUUAGAUAAAUUUCUAGAAAUGGAAUUGUUAAUGAUUUAAAAGAUAAUGGACUUCUGGAGUUCUUCUUUUGGCUCAGCAGGUUAUGAGCCCAACUAGUAUCCAUGAGAAUUCGGGUUUGAUCCUCGGCCUUGCUCAAUGGGCUAAGGAUCCAGUAUUGCCGCAAGCUGCAGCGUGGAUUGCAAAUGCGGCUCAGAUCUGGCAUUGCUAUGGCUGUGGCAUAGGCCAGAAGGUGCGGCUUUGAUUCACUCCCUGGCCUGGGUACUUCAUUUGCCACAGGUGCAGCCCUAAAAAGCCCUAAAAAGCAAAGAAAUAAAAGAUACGGGCUUUUUAAGUUCUCGAUAUAUAGCUUUCAAGUUCCCUUUGAAGUUAAAACUUGCCCUUUAGUUCAUCAGCAGAGUGCUUUCUUUGGUUUAUGCUAAUCUAAUCUACACGAAUGCCAAUUAGAUAACUGAAGAGCUGUAGUUUAUUGUCUUCAUUUGUACCUUUUUUUUGGGGGGGUACCUUCUGACUGAACUUUUUUUCCUGUGUUUAUUAUGUUUAUUAAUUAGUUUGGGGUUCUCUUUGUUACUCUCCUCUGUACAGUUUUCAGUUUUAUUGUGUAGAGAUACUAUAUUUACAUGUUAUUGAUUAAUUCGUACACAGUGUUCUGCUUUCAGUUAGAGUGGCAUGGUGGUGCUCGGCUUGCAGCUCCUUUCCCCUCCCACACCUCAUCUCCGUCUCCCUGUCUUCCCAUCACAUUAAAUUUCCGAUAUUAAGAAAGUAUUAGCUCAGACAAACCUUUGGUCAAGUGUACAUAAAGGCAAGAAAUGAAAGGUUGGGUAAGAAGGAUUGUAAAUUAUCCCUUACCUAAUUGUUCUAGCACUGAGUGUUUUAUGGAGCUGUCUUCAGACUGUAAUUAAAUGGACAAAGCAUCUUUGCAGAGAUGAUGAUCUUAAAAGAUUUUUCCCCUAAUUUUCUUUUGUUAAAUUUAACGUGUACUUCUGAAAAGUUGCCAGUAAACAUUUAAGUUACGUUGGCUUUAACUCUCCAUUUGGUGAGAGCCAGUGUAUCAGAUUUGUUGAGUUGAAUGAAAGAGGAAAGAAGACUAAAAUUAAACACUUUGUUGUCUCUGUCUCUCAUAAGGGAGAUUUGAGUAUCAGCCUGUCACUCUGAGUCUAUGUAUUUCCUUUUAGAAGCUGUUCAUAUUUUUUCUUUAAAUUAAUCUUUGUAAUUAUUAAUAACAGGAGCUUAAGAUACUGUGUAAUAACGUAUAUGGGGAAAGAAUCUGAAAAAGAACAGAUAUGUAUCUGUGUAACUGAUUUACUUUGCUGUACAUCUGAAACUAACACAACUAACUAUACUCCAAAAAAAUUUAUUUUAAAAAAAUAACAGCUUAUGGCAAAAUUUGUCAUCAUGGAGGUCAUAAUAGCAAAAGAAGGAAUUCUGAAUGUAAUCAAUAUAGUUCAUUAUAAACUAAGUUUAAGGAAAGUAAAUACGUAAAAGUUUAACGGGAAAAAGUAGGGGAACAAAUUCACUAACAGUUUACAAAAGACCAAAUUAAACUUUUUUCUUUUGUAAAUUAAGCUGUCUUUAGUGAGAACUCUAAACCACAUAUUUCAGAAGGAUAUUUGUCAUGAUUUCAUCAUGAAUAAAAUAGAAAAAUAUAGACUGGGUGAGAGAGUAUUAAGUGAGUUUUAGCUGAUCAGUAGUGCCCAGGGAAUAUCAGAUAAGGUCAUCCUACAAGUUCUUGUUCUUUUUAAUUUUAUUUUAAAAAACCAUUGUGUUGAAAGAAGCUGUAUAAAGCAGGUUCAUGAAAUUUACAAGCUGAUUGGAAUAGCUGCUACCUCAAAUAGCAGAAAAUGAUUUCCAUACUACCUAAAUAGAUUAAAAGGACUUUCAGAAACCAACAUAAAGUCAACAUGAAAGUCUAGUUUUGAUGAAGAUUCCAGUGAAAACAAUCUGAGAGCUUCAGAUUGAUUAUAAAUACAAAUUAAUGAAUUAAGCACGGUUUUUUUAAAAAUAAUAAAUGAUCUCUCCUCUGCUCCAGGUUCUGUGUUCUGAGUCCUAGAACCUGUGAAUGUUUUCUUGCAUGGCAAAAGAGACUUUGCAGAUGAGAUUAGAGGUCUUGAGUUGGGUUAAUUAUCCUGCAACAACCAAAUGAAUGCAGUGUAACCCCAAGGGUCCUUGCAUGAGAAAGGCAGGAGAGUCUGAGAAAGUGAUGUGACAGUGGAAGCGGAGAUUAGGAAGAAGAAGAUGCUGCCAGCUUUGAAGAUGGAAGAAGCAGCUGUGAGCCAAAGGAAUUUAGGCACCCUGUAGAAGCUGGAAAAGACAAGAAAUAAAUUUUGACCUAGAACACCCAUAAUGAAGGCAGCCCUGCCAACAACUUGAUUUCAGACUAGUGAAAUUCUGACCUCCAGAAGUGUUUUAAGUUACUGAGUUUUUGAUAAUAUGUUACUUCACGAAUAAGAAACUAAUGCAAAAGACAGUCCACUGGAUUCCAUAGGAAUGUAUCUGGACCCUGUUUAUUUGGGGAUAUCUUACUUGAAAUAGCCAGGAAAGUUGUUAGGUCUAGUCAUUUACCUAAUAGUAGAAGAUAAGAGAGAGGGAGACAUGCUUUAAAUAUCUUAUCAAAAGAAAGAUCGCUAUUGUUCUGUGCUCCAGAGGCAGAACUAGAACAGGACGGGGAAGGUUAUCAGAAGGGAGAUUUGGGGUCAGUACAAAGAAAAGUGCCCUACCAUAGGAGCUGUUUAGUUAAGAGUUACUAAGCCUGACUAUUAUGGAGUCUUCCAGAUAUGUUGUGAAAACAGUUCUGACCUUGUUAUCAGUACUGGAUUAGGUACUAAGAUACUGUGCAGCUUUAAAAUUCUUUGAUAUGCUACAUUUUCAAUAUAGAAAAGAUUUUUCUGAAUGCAGCACUUGAAUAGCAUAUGUAAUGCAAAAAAGAUACUGUGGUAAGCCAUAAUAAAAAAUUAAACUCCAGGUGUGCGUGCCAAGAUUCCCAGAGCAUUUACUGAGCCCUUUAUAUGUCAGGUACCAGGCUAAUAAGAGAUUUAUGUAUGUUAUCUCAUUUAAUCCUAACAACCGUUUGAGGUGAAGUGAGUACUAUUAAUCCUUUUUCAGAUUUCAGAAAUCCUUGAAAUUUAGAAAAGGUUAACUAGUCAAAGUUUACUCUGUUGGUAAAUGGCAGAGUGUCAUUACUUUGACUAACCCCCAAACACUGAAUUCUGCAGGUGUCAUGGGCCAAAUAUGCUCGUUCCUUAUUUUCCUUUGAAACUAUUCUUUGUUGAUAUAAGGGAUCAUGAUGAGUAAUUCUUCAGAAUUUUUAGAAUACUUUGUAUAACAGGCACCCAGUAGGGCAUUGUUCAUAUUUAGACUUUCUAAUUGUCAUUCAGCUAGUGACAGCAAAAAGACAAACUGUUGUCAACUGUUGCUGGCAAGUAUGUUUUUCUUACCGAGGCUUUCUAAGGAGGUUUUGUACCUUUUGGGGCCUAUUGCUGCUAUUAUUCUAUAGAAGAGAAUUGGAUGGUUUCUCUGCUGCUUUUAUAUGUUUGUUUUCAUUGACAGAUUACAUUGUGAAUACAGAGCUGUGAUAGCAGGGAGAGUGCUGCACCUAUUGAUGUUUAUCGAGCUGUUGCAGAUGAUAUACCUGUCAUUCCAUAUACACAAACUAAUUUGAUCUUGCUAGUAAAUAUCUUUAAUUUCUGGUGUUCUUCCUGGUGUUCAUUUAUGCGGCCCCCUUCUCUGUACCACAUUGAAGUUUCUGGUAUAGGCUAGUUAAUUGUAUGUUCCUGGUUCCCUUCUUACUCAUCCUCAUGGCUUUGAUUCUGUGACCUUUCAUUUUCUAGCCUGGACCUCUCUUUGUUCAAGAUCCGUAUUCCAGUCUCUGCUGAAUCUCUGCCUAGAUAUUCAGUAGGCAUCCCAAAUUAAAUUCAGUAUGUCUCAUCAUUAUCCGUGAAUCAAUACAUUGUACAUAUAGACAGGCACAGAUAUUUUGUCGGUAUUCCCCAUCGUAGUUAAUGGUCUCUGCAUUAUUUAGUCAAUAAGCAGCAUUCUAUAAUGCGAGUAUGCUAUUAAAAACAAAAUAAUGAGCUUGAAAAACAAAAAAUUCUAGUCCAGACCCAUUUGCUGGGCAUCACCCCAAAACAGAUGUAUCGCCUUGGGGUAUCAUCUCAAAAUAGGUGUAACAAUCUGUACUGGUUGUUAAUAUGAUUAAAUGAAAUAAUGCACCAUCAAACUUAAUUCUUCCUUGUACAUAGGCACUCAGUGCUGUUUCCUUCCUCUUCUGAGUUAUACCUUCUUUCAUGGAAUAAAUGCCCUUCUCUCUCUCUCUCUGUAAUGGCUGUGCCUGUGGCAUAUUUAAGUUCCUGGGACAGGAAUCUAAUCAGACAGAGCUGCAGCUGUGUUGCCAGGCCAGUGCCUCUGGAGCCAUCAGAGCCAUUGCAGUCAGGUUCUUAACCCAGUGUUUCCCAUUGUGUCUCAGCGGAAAUGAAUCUGACUAGCAUCCAUGAGGACGUGGGGUCGAUCCCUGGCCUCAGUCAGUGGGUGAUGGAUCCAGUGUUGCUAUGGCUGUGGUAUAGGUCAGAAGCUGCAGCUCUGAUUCGACCCUAGCCUGGGAACCUUCCUAUGCCACAGAUGAGGCCCUAACAAGACCAAAAACAAAAAAACAGAUACACUGGUUUGUCUUGUGUGCUCAAUUGGCUGUUUUUUAAUACAGGAAGUAUAUAAACUUUUUUGCCUUCCCUUUCUCUUCUUUAGGAAGGAAAUAGAACAGUGAUAAUAAACAACCGUCUCAAUGACUUUUUUAACUUAAGGAUUAUGAGCUUGGGCAGAAUAUACCCUUUUAUUAUAAAAUGUAUGCUUUAUAUUUCAGGCAGUUGUUGAUAUUUUUAAAAUUUGUAUUGAAGUUGAAAUAUUUCAGAUUGUUUCUUAGUUUCUCAUUGGCUUAUACAAUUUCAAAGAGUAUUGUUUUUCAAUGAGCAUUUUUUCUCAAGGAGAAUUUUUAUUUUGUUGGUAAAUAAAAUAAUCAUGACCGUAUUUGUUUAGAUUAAUCCCUCUUUAAAAACUGAAUUUCUGGAAUUCCCGUCGUGGAGCAGCGGAAAACGAAUCCGACUAGGAACCUUGAGUUUGAGGGUUCGAUCCCUGGCCUCACUCAGUGGGUUAAGGAGCUGGCGCUGCUAGGAGCUGGCGCUGCUAUGAGCUGUGCUGUAGACCAGCAGCUGUAGCUCCAAUUGAACCCCUAGGCCUGGGAACCUCCAUAUGCCGUGGGUGCGGCCCUAAAAAGAAAAAAACAACUAAUUUCUGUGUUAAUAUUUUUGGGUUUCUCCCACUUUCUGUAUCUUAGUAUUAUUUACAGAAAAAUUCUACCUUUCCUCUUCUUAAACAGAGUACGUAUCUGAUUCUUAUAUUGAUUAUAUUUGGCAUUGAAUACUUUUUCUAAAAUUACUGUUACCAUUAUUUAUAGUCCCAUUAUAUCUGUAGUUUUGAAAAGCUGUAAAAAUUCUCUGUUGCCAGAGAAUUUAAGAUAUGUUACCAGGUAGGCUUGUUUAUUCUGGGAAAAGAGGCUUGUGUUCUUUAGGCUAACCAUUUAGUAGUGGUCUAGUAAAGGUGGUCUGUGUCCUAGGGAUUCCAUCAUUGAAAUAAUAAAAUUAGGGAUUUCCUGUCAUGGCUCAGUGAAAACGAAUCUGACUAGAUUAGCAUCCAUGAGGAUCCAGGUUUGAUCCCUGGCCUCGCUCAAUGGGUUAAAGGAUCCAGCAUUGCUGUGAGCUGUAGUGUAGGUCGCAGAUGUGGGUUGGAUCCCAUGUGGCUGUGGCUGUGUUGUAGGCUGGCAGCUACAGCUCUGAUUUGGCCCCUAGGCUGGGAACCUCCAUAUGCCUCGGGUGCAGCCCUAAGAAGGCAAAAAAAAUGUUUUAAAGUAAUGGAUAUAUGAUACAUAAAGUUGGUAAUGCUCAGGAAGCCGUGGAACUUUAUUUCAGAAUGUAUUUUUAGAAGAGUAUGUAUGUACCUAUGAUUAAAAGAAGACAAAAACAAGGAUUUAAGAAACUAGAUAUAAGCUUCUUAAUUUCAGAAAUGUAUCAUUAUAACCCUCUGUGGGCUCUCAUUAUGUCUUGGUUCAAUUUAAACUUUAGGGGGAAGGAGAAUCCAUGUGUGCUCAAGUCUCAUGGGAGACUUACUGUAGUGAGAUUUAUUAAAUAUGAUGUCAUUUUUAUUCCUGACUAAAUCAAGAAAUUGUGAAUUCGGGAGUUCCUGGCAUGGUGCAGCAGAAACAAAUCCGACUGGGAACCAUGAGGUUUCAUGUUCAAUCUCUGGCCUCACUCAGUGCGUUGAGGAGCUGGCGUUGCUGUGGCUGUGGCCGGCGGCUACAGCUCUGAUUAGACCCUUCGCCUGGCAACCUCCAUAUGCCACCAGUGCAGCCCUAAAAGACAAAAG